UAAAAAGUUCAAAAUAUGUAAUAAAUAUGGAAUAAAUAAUGUUAGAAAUGGGUUGAGCAGAGAGAAGAUACGAAUUGCAGUCGGUGAUUUUCGAAUCAGACUCUGUCAGCUUAUCAAAACUAUUAACUCGGCGAUUAAAUAUCCAGCUCUCUAUGGAGUGACUGCGGAUAUUGUAUCGCAUAUGCGGAUAUUUUAUCGCAUAUGCGGAUAUUAAUAUUAUGAUUAGUUUAAUUUUACAUGGUUAGUUAAUUUUUACAUACAAUGACAUGUAUAUGCAUAAUAUAUAUUAUAUGUAUAAUAAUCACAUAGUUAUGAUUCAUUAUUUGUGGUUGAAAACUAUAAAUCUUCUUAACAUUAUUUAAUUCAAGAUAUAAUGCAAUCUACUUUGCUGUUAGUUUUUAUUUUUUAUUGUAAAAUAUACAAAUUACAUUCAUUAAUUUUUAAACUCUAAACUCUUGGUAAACCUUAAACCCUUGAGUAUACUCUAACCCUUUGGCUUUACCGGAUAAAUCAUAAACAAUAAACUCAAAACUUUUGGAUAUACCGUAAACACUAAUCUCUCUCUCUCUCUCUCUCCCUCCCUCUCUCUCCUCUCUCUCCCUCUCUCCCACUCUCUCUCCCCUCUCCUCCUCCCUCCUCCCUCCCUCCCUCUCCCUCCCUCUCUCUCUCCGUCCCUCCCUCUCCCUCCCUCUCUCUCCCU
rnacentral:lncRNA from 1 species